CCUACGGGGGGCUGCAGUGGGGAAUAUUGGACAAUGGGCGAAAGCCUGAUCCAGCCAUGCCGCGUGUGUGAAGAAGGCCUUCGGGUUGUAAAGCACUUUCAGUGGGGAAGAAAGCCUUGGGGCUAAUACCCUCGAGGAAGGACAUCACCCACAGAAGAAGCACCGGCUAACUCCGUGCCAGCAGCCGCGGUAAUACGGAGGGUGCGAGCGUUAAUCGGAAUUACUGGGCGUAAAGCGCGCGUAGGCGGUCUGAUAAGCCGGUUGUGAAAGCCCCGGGCUCAACCUGGGAACGGCAUCCGGAACUGUCAGGCUAGAGUGCAGGAGAGGAAGGUAGAAUUCCCGGUGUAGCGGUGAAAUGCGUAGAGAUCGGGAGGAAUACCAGCGGCGAAGGCGGCCUUCUGGACUGACACUGACGCUGAGGUGCGAAAGCGUGGGUAGCAAACAGGAUUAGAUACCCCUGUAGUC
rnacentral:rRNA from 1 species